UAGGGAAUCUUCGGCAAUGGACGAAAGUCUGACCGAGCAACGCCGCGUGAGUGAAGAAGGUUUUCGGAUCGUAAAACUCUGUUGUUAGAGAAGAACAAGGACGUAGUAACUGAACGUCCCCUGACGGUAUCUAACCAGAAAACCACGGCUAACUACGUGCCAGCAGCCGCGGUAAUACGUAGGUGGCAAGCGUUGUCCGGAUUUAUUGGGCGUAAAGCGAGCGCAGGCGGUUUCUUAAGUCUGAUGUGAAAGCCCCCGGCUCAACCGGGGAGGGUCAUUGGAAACUGGGAGACUUGAGCGCAGAAGAGGAGAGUGGAAUUCCAUGUGUAGCGGUGAAAUGCGUAGAUAUAUGGAGGAACACCAGUGGCGAAGGCGGCUCUCUGGUCUGUAACUGACGCUGAGGCUCGAAAGCGUGGGGAGCAAACAGG
rnacentral:rRNA from 1 species